CCUACGGGAGGCAGCAGUGGGGAAUAUUGCGCAAUGGGCGAAAGCCUGACGCAGCGACGCCGCGUGAGGGAUGAAGGUCUUCGGAUCGUAAACCUCUGUCAGCAGGGAAGAACGGGCACUGUGCUAAUCAGCAGUGAAUUGACGGUACCUGCAAAGGAAGCACCGGCUAACUCCGUGCCAGCAGCCGCGGUAAUACGGAGGGGGCGAGCGUUAAGCGGAAGUACUGGGCGUAAAGCGAGCGAAGACGGUAUGUCAAGUCAAGGGGGAAAGCCCCGGGCUCAACGGGGGAACUGCUCUGGAAACUGGGCGGCUAGAGUACUGGAGGGGAAGGUGGAAUUCCUGGUGUAGGGGUGAAAUGCGUAGAUAUUAGGAGGAACACCAGUGGCGAAGGCGGCCUGCUGGACAGUAACUGACGCUGAGGCGCGAAAGCGUGGGGAGCAAACAGGAUUAGAUACCCUUGUAGUC
rnacentral:rRNA from 1 species